GGCGGGCGCUCGCCGGGCAGUUCCCGCGCGGCCCCGCGAGGUCGCGAGAGUUAGACGACGGGCGCGCGCACUUCCCCCGCAGCCGCAGGGAGGGGGCGGGCGCUCGCCGGGCAGUUCCCGCGCGGCCCCGCGAGGUCGCGAGAGUUAGACGACGCGCGCGCGCGCACUUCCGCCGCAGCCGCAGGGAGGGGGCGGGCGCUCGCCGGGCAGUUCCCGCGCGGCCCCGCGAGGUCGCGAGUUAGACGACGCGCGCGCGCGCGCACUUCCGCCGCCGACGCAGGGAGAGGGCGGGGAAGUUAGACAGGCGAGCUGCGGGUGUCGUUAACUCUCAGUCCCCAGCUCCUGCGCCUGUCGCUGCUCCCGCGACCUCGGCCCCACGGUGGGCGAGGCCUGGCACACAUGCAGUAGGUGCCACUUUGUCCUGGCAUUCUCUUUAUAAAUUACUAGCGUCAACUUGCCAGGGUUUUGCUGGGGGGUUUGCAUCUCUGCUCGUGGGAAGUACUGGCCUGUAGUUUUCCUUUCUGUAAUGUCUUCGGGUAAUGUCGGCCCUAGGACGCGCGGCUUCCUGCAGAAGGCUGACCCCGGAGGAGCCGGCCAGCACCGGACUAAGGGGCCCGGGCGAAGCAGCCCGCCUCGGUCACGGGUGCGGUGCAGCCACAGAAAAGCGCAUCCGAGCACGGAGCGCGCAAGACACGGGGCGGGCCCAGGAACAGCGCUCCCCCGGUCUGCACGGGGGACCUCAGGGAUGCGGGGAUGCGGAACAGACACCAAAGGUAAAAAUGGAUCUCCAGAAAACUCACUGAUAACAUCUGGCCACUUUAUAAGCCAGGGUCUCUCUCCAAGAUGGCUUCUCUGUGAUGAACUAAUCCAGUGUUUGCAUAUUGUCCCAUAUCCUCCACAUCUGUGAGUCAAAUUCAGUGUGAACUGUCUUAUCUUCACUGCAGCCUGCACUCUUGACAAAAGCUCUUCCACACUCAUCACAUUCAUAGAGUUUCUCCUCAGUGUGUAGCUCGGAUGCUGAAUAAGGAUGGAGCUCUGAGUGAAACUCAUUCCACAUUCAUCACACUUACGCCAUCAUGGGUAUCUUUCUAGUCUUCCCUGAUAUUUCUGGACUUAUGUAAUGAAAGCACUGAGGAAUACCUCCAUCUAAUCUGACAAUGGGUCCCUGUUGGCAUGUUAUUUCUUCAGACUUCUACUUUGGAAGCAUCUUCUCCAUUUCAACCAAAUCAUCUGAAAGAGGGGACUGAACAUUUCAGCAUGACUCACCCACUCACACACACCUUACUCAAUUACUUGCUCAUUGAACAAGCACUCAUUAAAAGUACAUGGUAGGGGCACCUGGGUAGCUCAAUUGGUUCAGCGUCUGCCUUCAGCUCAGGUCAAGAUCUCAGGGUCCCGGGAUCGAGCCCCAUGUCGUCGGGGAGCCUGCUUCUGCCUCUCCCUUUGCCGCUCCCUCUUCCCCUCCCCCUGCUUGUGCUCUCUCAUUCUUGCUCUCUCUCAAAUAAAUAAAUAAAUAAAAUCUUAAAAAAAAAAAGUACAUGCUAAAGGAAAGAAAACAAAAUGUCUUAUGUAACAUAGGUGUGUACUGAGUUUAUGACUUAAAUUAUACUGUGUUAUUUUUAAAAGCAAGGGAUAUGUAUGUAUACAUGUGCUUAUGAUAAAUAAAUGAUAAAAGGAUAAACCACAAAAGUAAAGAGCAAGAAAGGAUUAUCUAUGGGGAAGAGAGGGAACAGAAGGAUGGAACAGGAAGAGAACUUCCUUGAAAAUAUUUUACAGAUUUCAUAUGUAAAACUUUAUAUAAUUUAAAAAAAUAAACAUUUUAAAUAUAAAAUAAAAUAAAAAAUCACUCCCUAAACUUGAACAAGUAAUGAAACAAACUGAAUUUAAAUGUGUACCUGUUGGGGCACCUGGGUGGCUCAGUUGUUAGGUGUCUGCCUUCAGCUCAGGUCAUGAUCCCAGGGUCCUGGGAUCGAGCCCCGCAUCGGGCUCCCUGCCCUGCGGGAAGCCUGCUUCUCCCUCUCCCACUCCCCCUGCUUGUGUUCCCUCUCUCGCUGUGUCUCUCUCUGUCAAAUAAAUAAAUAAACCUUAAAAGAAAAAAAAAGAACUAUAAAUGUGUACCUGUUGGUAGCAUAAGCACACAGAAGAGGAAUUAUUUCUAAUCCCAAAGAUCUAUAACUUAAGGACAAAAAGAAUGGGAAAACACAGGCACAACCAUGAAGCUGUUUAUAAUAAUCAUACUUGUUGAUGGUGGUGCUAAUAUUUUUAUUGAGGCUAUUGUGUAUAUAUUGUGGGAUAAAGCAAAUGAGUAUUUGGUACUCUAUUAUUCCUGGUGUCUUUGAGAAUUCUCCAAAAGGAGAUACAGAUGAAAGACAGAUUAAGACCCUGAAAUACUGAAUUUGAAUUGGAACUAUCAAUAUGAAUUCACAAUACAUAGCUUAUCUUAAAUUUUUCCUAGCUUUGAGCACUGACAAGGCCUAGGAACAAUGUCCAAUAAAGCCGUGAACACUCCUAGUACCUUAUUUUUGGUCUUCAAAUACCGUUUCCCACUAAACAGAAUCAAGGGGUCUUGGAAAAAUGAAUGAUCCCAGGAGUGGGAAGGAAUUAGAAGAUGAGUCUGUACCUCUUGUUAUACCAGACAGCAAGAAAGCUAUUAAAAUGCCUAGACUCAUGUCAUAAAUAGAGGAGUCAAACUCAACAGGCUCCUACUGCCCAAAGAUGAGACAAAUGAGCUUCAAUAAGGGAUAGUUAAGUACAAUGGAUUGAAAAAUAUGAAAUAGGUUUAAAUCCACGAGUUCUAAAUGAUACCAUUAUUAAUAAUAACAACUGGCCACCGUUUUAGAGAAUGACAGCAAAAUGAAUUCAUCAUUUUGAAACCGAUUUUUAAAAAUAGGUAGUGGGAGGGCAACCUGGGUGGCUCAGUCAGUUAAGCCUCUGCCUUCAGCUCAGGUCAUGAUCCCAGGGUCCUGGGAUCGAGUCCCACAUUGGGCUCUCUGCUCAGUGGGGAGUCUGCUCCUCCCUUUCCCUCAGCCCCUCCACCCCGCUUGUGUGCUUUGUCAAAUAAAUAAAAUCUUAAAAAAAAAAAAAGGUAGUGGGGAGGGAGUUAAUCAAUUACCUUGCUUCUUCUAUAAGAACCACUGGGUAACCAAGUAGGAAGACAGGGGAAGUAUCUCUUUAUAUAAAUAUUCUAGCUUUGUUAAACGAAGGAUGACAGAAUAAGAAUACCGACAUUCUGGAUAGGUACUGAGGAUCGAGAGCUGCUAACAUCACAAAAAAAGAGACAACCAGAUGUUGUAAACUCCUGAUAGAACACACCACCUUGCCAAGUUAAACUUACCUUGUUCCCAAACCUUAAACUUGAUUUUGAUCAAGCCCCCAGUUUACUGCAAAUUAUAGAAAAUGGAGAGGACAACAGAAGACAUUAUACUACAGAACCAGAUGCAGAUGGCAAAGUCCUCACUAUGGGACUCUGAGAAACAGCCUGGUGUGUUUAGUUUUUUUUUUUUUUAAUUAUUUAAAGUAAUCUCUACCCAAAAGGUGUGGCUCGAACUCAUGACCCUGAGAUCGAGUCGCAGGCUCCUCUGACUGAGCCAGCUGGGUGCCCCCAACCUGAUGUUUUGUUUUUUAAAGAUUUUAUUUAUUUAUUUGGCAGAGAGAGAUACAGCAAGAGAGGGAACACAACAAACAGGGGGAGAGGGAGAGGGAGAAGCAGGCUUCCCGCCGAGCAGGGAGCCCGAUGCGGGGCUUGAUCCCAGGACCCCGGGAUCAUGACCUGAGCCAAAGGCAGACGCUUAACGACUGAGCCAUCCAGGCACCCCUUGUUUUGUUUUGAAGAUUUUUAAUUUAUUCACUUGAGAGAGAGAGAGACAGAAAGAGCACAAGCAGGGGGAGCAGCAGAGGGAGAGGGAGAAGCAGACUCCUUGCCAAGCUGGGAGCCCAACGGGGCUCUAUCCCAGGACCUGGAGAUCAUGACCUGAGCCAAAGGCAGAUGCUCAACCAUCUGAGCCACCCCGGCGCCCCCCAGCCUGAUGUUUUUAGUUAAUUGCAAGUGGGGAGAUAAAAAGGAAGAGGGAUCUAUAUAUUAAGAGAAACUUAAGAGAUAUAUCAAUGGAUCAAAAUGUGUUUUCUUCUUGGGAUCCCAAUUCAAACAAGCUAAAACAAAAGAAAUUUAAAAAUUCAUAACAUCUUUGAGACAACUGGAAAUUUGGUACAAUUUUUUUAGGUGUGAUAAUACUAUUAUGGUUACAUUAAAGAAAUUCCUGUCUUCUAGUCAUGACUCUAAGAAUUCAUCUUUUGAGCUACAUAUUGAAAUAUUUACAUUUGAAAGAUUAUAUCUGAGAUAUACUUCAAAAUUAUAUGGAAAAAAUAACAUGGAAAUGAGUAGUUAUGAGACAAGAUAGUCAUGAUUUGAUAAUGUUGAAACUGGGUGGCAGGUUCAUGGAGAUUCAUUAUACAGUUCUUUUAUAUAGAUUUGUACUUUUUCAGAAUAAAAAGUAAAAAAAGAUAAGUUUGUGGCUUUCAGUUGGUAGUAUGUAAAAAAAAGAAAAAAGAAAAAAGAAGUAACUUACAAACCCUCCUAGUUAAAAGAUAGCUUUUUCUGUAGGAACCGCCAGGCUGAGAGAAGCAUGGCCCUCUCCUCUCCACCCCCAUGGUGUGUGCUUGUCACUGAUAUCCAUGUACUCUGAAAAGGGGGAGUCAUCUGGCAAAAAUGUGACUUUGCUUACUGUGUUCAAGGCUCCCAUUCGACCUGAUAUUGUGAACUCUGUUCACACCAA